rnacentral:rRNA from 1 species
UACGAAGGGCUGAGCAGUGUCUUCGGAAUCACUGGGCGUAAAGGGUGUGUAGGCGACAUUUCAAGUUCCACUGUUAAAUAUCCCAGCUUAACUGGGAAGGUGCGAGUGGAAACUGAUUCGUUAGAGGGUGGAAGAGAGAAGUGGAAUUCUCGGAGUAGCGGUAAAAUGCGUAGAUAAUCGAGAGGAACACCGAUGGCGAAGGCAGCUUCUUAGUCCACACCUGACGCUGAUACACGAAAGCGUGGGGAGCAAACAGG